AAAUUGAAGAGUUUGAUCAUGGCUCAGAUUGAACGCUGGCGGCAGGCCUAACACAUGCAAGUCGAGCGGUAGCACAGAGAGCUUGCUCUCGGGUGACGAGCGGCGGACGGGUGAGUAAUGUCUGGGAAACUGCCUGAUGGAGGGGGAUAACUACUGGAAACGGUAGCUAAUACCGCAUAACGUCGCAAGACCAAAGUGGGGGACCUUCGGGCCUCAUGCCAUCAGAUGUGCCCAGAUGGGAUUAGCUAGUAGGUGGGGUAACGGCUCACCUAGGCGACGAUCCCUAGCUGGUCUGAGAGGAUGACCAGCCACACUGGAACUGAGACACGGUCCAGACUCCUACGGGAGGCAGCAGUGGGGAAUAUUGCACAAUGGGCGCAAGCCUGAUGCAGCCAUGCCGCGUGUGUGAAGAAGGCCUUCGGGUUGUAAAGCACUUUCAGCGGGGAGGAAGGCGUUAAGGUUAAUAACCUUGGCGAUUGACGUUACCCGCAGAAGAAGCACCGGCUAACUCCGUGCCAGCAGCCGCGGUAAUACGGAGGGUGCAAGCGUUAAUCGGAAUUACUGGGCGUAAAGCGCACGCAGGCGGUCUGUCAAGUCGGAUGUGAAAUCCCCGGGCUCAACCUGGGAACUGCAUUCGAAACUGGCAGGCUAGAGUCUUGUAGAGGGGGGUAGAAUUCCAGGUGUAGCGGUGAAAUGCGUAGAGAUCUGGAGGAAUACCGGUGGCGAAGGCGGCCCCCUGGACAAAGACUGACGCUCAGGUGCGAAAGCGUGGGGAGCAAACAGGAUUAGAUACCCUGGUAGUCCACGCCGUAAACGAUGUCGAUUUGGAGGUUGUGCCCUUGAGGCGUGGCUUCCGGAGCUAACGCGUUAAAUCGACCGCCUGGGGAGUACGGCCGCAAGGUUAAAACUCAAAUGAAUUGACGGGGGCCCGCACAAGCGGUGGAGCAUGUGGUUUAAUUCGAUGCAACGCGAAGAACCUUACCUGGUCUUGACAUCCACAGAACUUUCCAGAGAUGGAUUGGUGCCUUCGGGAACUGUGAGACAGGUGCUGCAUGGCUGUCGUCAGCUCGUGUUGUGAAAUGUUGGGUUAAGUCCCGCAACGAGCGCAACCCUUAUCCUUUGUUGCCAGCGGUUCGGCCGGGAACUCAAAGGAGACUGCCAGUGAUAAACUGGAGGAAGGUGGGGAUGACGUCAAGUCAUCAUGGCCCUUACGACCAGGGCUACACACGUGCUACAAUGGCAUAUACAAAGAGAAGCGACCUCGCGAGAGCAAGCGGACCUCAUAAAGUAUGUCGUAGUCCGGAUUGGAGUCUGCAACUCGACUCCAUGAAGUCGGAAUCGCUAGUAAUCGUAGAUCAGAAUGUUACGGUGAAUACGUUCCCGGGCCUUGUACACACCGCCCGUCACACCAUGGGAGUGGGUUGCAAAAGAAGUAGGUAGCUUAACCUUCGGGAGGGCGCUUACCACUUUGUGAUUCAUGACUGGGGUGAAGUCGUAACAAGGUAACCGUAGGGGAACCUGCGGUUGGAUCACCUCCUUA
rnacentral:rRNA from 1 species